GCGUCCGUAGCUCAGCUGGAUAGAGCAUUCGCCUUCUAAGCGAAAUGUCGGGGGUUCGAACCCCUCCGGACGCG
rnacentral:tRNA from 1 species